rnacentral:rRNA from 1 species
AGGGUUCGAUUCUGGCUCAGGAUGAACGCUGGCGGCGUGCUUAACACAUGCAAGUCGAACGAACCUUCGGGUUAGUGGCGGACGGGUGAGUAACGCGUGAGAAUCUGCCCUCAGGAGGGGGAUAACGGUUGGAAACGACCGCUAAUACCCCAUAUGCCGAUAGGUGAAAUGAAUUUCGCCUGAGGAUGAGCUCGCGUCUGAUUAGCUUGUUGGUGAGGUAAUGGCUCACCAAGGCUUCGAUCAGUAGCUGGUCUGAGAGGAUGAUCAGCCACACUGGGACUGAGACACGGCCCAGACUCCUACGGGAGGCAGCAGUGGGGAAUUUUCCGCAAUGGGCGAAAGCCUGACGGAGCAACGCCGCGUGAGGGACGAAGGCCUCUGGGCUGUAAACCUCUUUUCUCAAGGAAGAAGAUAUGACGGUACUUGAGGAAUAAGCCACGGCUAAUUCCGUGCCAGCCGCCGCGGUAAUUC